UUGACCUGUGAAAUAAAAAUCCAAGAAAAGACAAUUCACAUAUUGACAAGCAUAUUCUUUUGGUACAAAAAUGAAAUGUACAGAGCUGGGGUGUUGAUUUGUUGACCUUUUGGACACUAGGAUGAAUAUCCCCUGUCUCAUCAUCCUUGACGGGUACGGGGACUUCAACGAUGUUGGCAUCAACUGGUAGGCAGCCUAUGAAGUCUAGGUACCGGCUGACUCCAGACACGGACUUUGAGGAUCCAGGCACCACCAUAAGAGCCGGGUCCUCAUCGCUGACCCGAUCACACCGACUGGUACUGCGACUACUCACUGGAAAGGAGCAAAAGUUUAUCAUAAGAAAACCUCGUUUUUGUCUGACCAGAAGCACGCUGGUUAAAUUAGCCACCAUGCGUAACAGUUCCGAGUCACAGAGUGAGAAAAGAC